AUAUGGACAUAAGUUUGUGUAAGAAUUAUAUUUUGUUCUAUCCUAAGUGGCAGCUCUCAAACCUUUUCAGCCAGGGACCCUUUUUAGCAUCGCCAAUCCUUCUGGCUUGAGAAUUUUCUAUGUGUUUCUUUAGUCAGGAUUUUUUUCCCAUUCUCCAGUUUUUAGUGCCCUUUUUCAAUAUUGUAGACAGUUGUCAUUUUAAGCUUUUUUCUUUCCUUUAUUAGUACAAAUUCAGGUAGUAAAAUAUUUUAGUAAUUCAUAUUAUUAAGUACCAAUUUUCUGAAUACUACUUUGAGCAUUACACAAAGCAUGAUGUGGCGUGCCAUUUACUCUGAGUUCUACUUUACUAUUCAUUUGUAUUUCUAUCUCUUAUCUGCAGGUAUGGCAUUUCAAAUAUAGAUACAACCAUUGAAGGAACGUCAGAUGACCUGACUGUUGUAGAUGCAGCUUCACUAAGACGACAGAUAAUCAAACUAAAUAGACGUCUACAACUUCUGGAAGAGGAGAACAAAGAACGUGCUAAAAGAGAAAUGGUCAUGUAUUCAAUUACUGUAGCUUUCUGGCUGCUUAAUAGCUGGCUCUGGUUUCGCCGCUAGAGGUAACAUCAGCCCUCAAAAAUACUGUCUCAACAGCUGGAAAUAUAAAAGAUUUGCAAACUUC
rnacentral:lncRNA from 1 species